UUAAGUUCAGCGGGUAUCCCUACCUGAUCCGAGGUCAAAAUGUGGGGGUGGCUUGCUGGGAGCUCACACGCAGGCCCGAGUUCGCGUUUCUGCUGCGCUCGAAACUGCAAUGCUAGCCGCCAAUAGAUUUGAGGCGAGUCGCCUGCGGAAACCGCGGGGUCGACAAGGCGCCCAUCACCAAGCAGAGCUUGAGGGGUCAA
rnacentral:misc_RNA from 1 species